AUGAAGACUCUCGGCAACGGAUAUCUCGGCUCUCGCAUCGAUGAAGAACGUAGCGAAAUGCGAUACGUGGUGUGAAUUGCAGAAUCCCGUGAACCAUCGAGUCUUUGAACGCAAGUUGCGCCCGAGGGACUUGCCCGAGGGCACACCUGCCUCAUGGGCGUUAGAA
rnacentral:rRNA from 1 species